rnacentral:rRNA from 1 species
CAGCCGCCGCGGGAAUACGAGGGGGGCAAGCGUUGUUCGGAAUUACUGGGCGUAAAGCGUGCGUAGGUGGUGGUUUAAGUCCGUUGUGAAAGCCCUGGGCUCAACCUGGGAAUUGCAGUGGAUACUGGGUCACUAGAGUGUGGUAGAGGAUAGUGGAAUUUCCGGUGUAGCAGUGAAAUGCGUAGAGAUCGGAAGGAACAUCUGUGGCGAAGGCGACUAUCUGGGCCAACACUGACACUGAGGCACGAAAGCGUGGGGAGCAAACAGGAUUAGAUACCCCCGUAGUCCCUGUCUCUUAUAA